rnacentral:rRNA from 1 species
GGAUUAGGCAUGCAAGUCGAACGAGGGAAUAUUCUUCGGAAUAUAAAUCGAGUGGCGAAAGGGUGAGUAAUGGAUUGAUAACCUGCCUUUGAGAUGGGAAUAACAACGCCUUGAGUAAUCAAGGCUACCGAAAGGGUUGCUAAUACCCAAUAAUACCAUGGAUAUUUAGGUGUCUAUGGUCAAAUGUUCGGAGCCGUAAGGUUCCAGUCGCUCAGAGAGGGGUCAAUUUCCUAUCAGCUUGUUGGUGGGGUAAAGGCCUACCAAGGCGAAGACGGGUAGCCGGCUUGAGAGGGUGGUCGGCCACACUGGGACUGAGACACUGCCCAGACUCCUACGGGAGGCUGCAGUCGAGAAUCUUUCGCAAUGCCCGAAAGGGUGACGAAGCGACGCCGCGUGUGGGAAGAAGGCUCUAGGGUUGUAAACCACUGUCAGGAGUUAAGAAAUGUAGAGGCGUUAAUAGCGCCUUUAUUUGACGAAGGCUCCAGAGGAAGCCACGGCUAACUCUGUGCCAGCAGCCGCGGUAAUACAGAGGUGGCAAGCGUUGUUCGGAAUUAUUGGGCGUAAAGAGCACGUAGGCGGUCCUGCAAGUCUGUUGUGAAAUCCUUCCGCUUAACGGGAGAACGGCAGCUGAUACUACAGGACUAGAGUACGGGAGGGGAGAGUGGAACUUCUGGUGGAGCGGUGAAAUGCGUAGAUAUCAGAAGGAACGCCGGCGGCGAAAGCGACUCUCUGGCCCGAAACUGACGCUGAGUGUGCGAAAGCUAGGGGAGCAAACGGGAUUAGAUACCCCGGUAGUCCUAGCCGUAAACGAUGGGCACUAAGUAGAGGGGUUUU